rnacentral:rRNA from 1 species
GAUUUUUAGUCUAAACCCCCGAAUCUAGGCGAGCUWUUUUAAGACAGCUUUAUGAGCCCACCCGUCUCUGUUGCAAAAGAGUGGGAAGAUCUUACCAUAGCGGUGACAGACCUAACGAGCCUAGKGAUAGCUGGUUGCUUAAUAAAAGGAUUUUAGUCCAACUUAAAGUUAUUUAUAAUAUUUACAAAACUCGACUUUAAAGUCAUUCAAAUAAGGUACAGCCUAUUUGAAACAGGAUACAACCUCUCCCACUGGGUUCUCAUAUUCUAUUAAAAAUAAGUAGGCUUAAAAGCAGCCACCUUAAAUAAAAGCGUCAUAGCUUCCUUUWUCCAUAAUUUAAUUCCUAAAGCUUCCCCCWACCCUUCAUCUCUAGUAAGCAACUCUAUACCACUAUAGAAGAUUUUAUGUUAAAACUAGUAMCAAGAAGAAGUCCUUCUCUUAAAUGCACAUGUAAAUCAGCACGACAACCCACUGAUAAUUAAC